rnacentral:rRNA from 1 species
CGGAUUGUAGUCUGCAACUCGACUACAUGAAGCUGGAAUCGCUAGUAAUCGCGAAUCAGCAUGUCGCGGUGAAUACGUUCCCGGGUCUUGUACACACCGCCCGUCACACCAUGGGAGUCAGUAACGCCCGAAGCCGGUGACCCAACCAAGAAUGGAGGGAGCCGUCGAAGGUGGGACCGAUAACUGGGGUGAAGUCGUAACAAGGUAUC